rnacentral:lncRNA from 1 species
CAUGGAGAUAGCAAUCAAAUAUUACAUUUACUUUCUUAAAAAAGAUGGAUGUUUUUGCUUUUCUAUUUGAGAUACGAGUGUAAGUGUUUUAUAUAUUUGUUGCUUUCCAUAGACAUAAACACUGAGUUUGGUGGGUAGUGUACGCCUUGGAUGCCAGCUAUUCAAGAGGGUAAUGCAGGAGGAUUGGCCCUUUGAGAUCAGUCUUGAGAACUUAGGGAGACCAUGUCUCAAAAUUAAAAGUAGAUAGGGAUACGGAUGUUGCUAGUUAUAAAUCUGUAAUUAGUCCCUAGAUUCAAUCCCUAGUACUAGACAAAUCCCACUGACUGUGAAUACUUUUAUCCAUUAAGUAGUGGAUCUUUAUCUUUUAAAACUAAAUGAAUAAAAAUGGGAAACAUAGAAGUUUAAAAUCAUUGACUUCUAGUUAAAUUCAUCUUCAGCCUACAAAAGAAGGUCCUUGGGACACAUGUAUUCAGUUUCUUGAAACCCAUAUUUUCCAGAUAUGGGUUUGAAUUGCAGGCAGUCACUUCUGAGAAGGUAUCCUAGUGAAGGAGGAGGAAUAUGUAGUUAUUUUCCCAGUGUGUGGCCCAGGCCAGGGAGAGCAUUGAAUUUUCUUCCCAAAGUACCUUAUACUGGGAAUAUGCACACCUUUACUCCUGAACCAUUCAGGUGGACAGACCACUGGGCAGCAUGUGGAAAGUAUGCUACAGGACAUGUUUUAGCCAUUUUGCAUUUUUCUAACAUGUUUUAGCCAUUUUGCUUCCUUUUUUCUCACAAUAGUAAACUUUAACCCUUCGAAACACAUAUGACUAUCUAUUAUAGGAGCCUUUUGUUCUUACACUUUCACCUAAGACAUGCCAUGCAUACAUGUCCUGCAGGAUUGAAAAAGUUUUCUUUUUCACAAAUUAACAACACAAAGUAUUGGUAUUCUAUAUUUCUAUUGGGGAUGUUUUUGGGUCUUCAGAUGUUGCUGAAAAAGUGAACCAUACUUUAUUUCCUUUCCAUCUAGAUGCACCAUCAUCUAUAAAUACACAAGAGUCAAAUAAAUACAAAUUGAGUGACUGUAAGAAUUUGGUAAGUUCUAAAAGAACAGAAUGAUUAGAAGAGACUCAAUCUCUAGAAUGCUGAGGAAAGUCUACUGCAAUUCCCUAUUAUGUCAUUUUGUUUUGAUUUGGCCACUGAUACACAACAAUGACAAUGUGUCUUUUUAUGUUGAUUGACACACUUGGUACCAAUUUGUCCUGUAACAGUUGUUUUAACCUCAUUUACUUGAUGUAAAUGCUGUCUGCUGGAUUUUGCUAUAAGUUAAAUUUUUCUCUUUGUAUUUAGGUAUCUUGGUAAGAUUUUUCUAAAUAAUCUAAAUAAACCACUAUCUUUAAAAAGAAACCUUUCUUUCUUAAUAACUUUUUACUCCCUUCCCCUCCCAUCCUUCUGCCCUAUCUAGAGUUUGUCUAUUUCUCCCAUGCUCCCUCUCUCUAUCCCACUAUGAAUCAGCCUCCUUAUAUCAGAAAAAAAAAAAAAAAACAUUUGGCAUUUGGUUUUUUGGGAUUGACUAACUUCACUUAGCAUUAUCUUCUCUAACUCCAUCCAUUUCCCUGAAAAUGCCAUGAUUUUAUUCUCUUUUAUUGCUGAGUAAUAUUCCAUUGUGUAUAUAUGCCACAUUUUUUUAAUCCAUUCAUCUAUUGAAGGGCAUCAAGGUUCCACAGUUUAUCUAUUGUGAAUUGUGCUGCUAUAAACAUUGAUGUGGCUGUGUCUCUGUAGUAUGCUGUUUUUAAGUGCUUUGGGUAUAAACCGAGGAGAGGAUAGCUGGGUCAAAUGGUGGUUCCAUUCUGGAUUUUCCCAGAAAUCUCCACACUACUUUCCAUAUUUGCUGCACCAAUUUGCAGUCCCACCAACAAUUUUUGAGUGUACCUUUCCCACGACAUCCCCACCAACACUUAUUGUUGUUUGUCUUCAUAAUAGCUGCCAUUCUGUCUGGAGUGAGAUGAAAUCUUAGAGUGGUUUUGAUUUGCAUUUCUCUAAUUGCUAGUGAUGAUGAACAUUUUUUUCAUAUAUUUGUUGAUUGAUUGUAUAUCCUCUUCUGAGAAGUGUCUGUUCAGGUCCUUAGUCCAUUUCUUGAUUGGGUUAUUUGCUUUUUGGUGCUUAGCUUUUUGAGUUCUUUAUAUACCCUAGAGGUUAGUGCUCUAUCUGAUGUGUGAGGGGGUAAAGAUUUGCUCCCAAGAUGUAGGCUCUCUAUUCACCUCACAGAUUGUUUCUUUUACUGAGAAGAAACUUUUUAGUUUGAGUCCAUUCCAUUUAUAGAUUUUUGAUUUUAAUUCUUUGCCACAGGAGUCUUAUUAAGGAAGUUGGGGAUUAGGGCCUACUUUUUCUUCUAUUAGACACAGAGUCUCUGGUUAUAUUCCUAAGUUCUUGAUCCAUUUUGAGUUGAGUUUUGUUCAUGGUGAGAGAUUAGGGUUUAAUUUCAUUUUGUUGCAUAUAGAUUUCCAGUUUUCUGAACACCAUUUGUUGAAGAGGCUGUCUUUUCUCCAGUGCAUGUUCUUGGCACCUUUGUCCAAUAUAAGAUAAUUGUAGUUUUGUGGGUUAGUCUUUG